AGUGGAAGCGUCUGGAAAGGCGCGCGAUACAGGGUGACAGCCCCGUACACAAAAAUGCACAUACUGUGAGCUCGAUGAGUAGGGCGGGACACGUGGUAUCCUGUCUGAAUAUGGGGGGACCAUCCUCCAAGGCUAAAUACUCCUGACUGACCGAUAGUGAACCAGUACCGUGAGGGAAAGGCGAAAAGAACCCCGGCGAGGGGAGUGAAAAAGAACCUGAAACCGUGUACGUACAAGCAGUGGGAGCCUCUUUAUGGGGUGACUGCGUACCUUUUGUAUAAUGGGUCAGCGACUUAUAUUCUGUAGCAAGGUUAACCGAAUAGGGGAGCCGAAGGGAAACCGAGUCUUAACUGGGCGUUAAGUUGCAGGGUAUAGACCCGAAACCCGGUGAUCUAGCCAUGGGCAGGUUGAAGGUUGGGUAACACUAACUGGAGGACCGAACCGACUAAUGUUGAAAAAUUAGCGGAUGACUUGUGGCUGGGGGUGAAAGGCCAAUCAAACCGGGAGAUAGCUGGUUCUCCCCGAAAGCUAUUUAGGUAGCGCCUCGUGAAUUCAUCUCCGGGGGUAGAGCACUGUUUCGGCAAGGGGGUCAUCCCGACUUACCAACCCGAUGCAAACUGCGAAUACCGGAGAAUGUUAUCACGGGAGACACACGGCGGGUGCUAACGUCCGUCGUGAAGAGGGAAACAACCCAGACCGCCAGCUAAGGUCCCAAAGUCAUGGUUAAGUGGGAAACGAUGUGGGAAGGCCCAGACAGCCAGGAUGUUGGCUUAGAAGCAGCCAUCAUUUAAAGAAAGCGUAAUAGCUCACUGGUCGAGUCGGCCUGCGCGGAAGAUGUAACGGGGCUAAACCAUG
rnacentral:rRNA from 1 species